GGUACACAUGGACAUGCAUUUCUCAGCAGUAGUGCUGCCAUAAAGUUUAUGCAAAAUAUAGAUCAUAAUGUAACAGACUCCCCAUAAUAUUUUGUAAAGAUAGAGAAUUUUAAGUAGUCUGUAUUAUUUGUGGUGUACACUGUUCCUUUAUCAGGGCCCUUCCUAAUUAGCCCAAACAGCACAGCGGGGGAUGGGCUGCUUGGAAUUCUCUCUUGGCAUUAAAACAGUAAAAAUGGGUGGUGGGGUCAGUGCCUGACUGACAUUCUGAUUGGUCACAGCAAUUGGUCAUCAUCUCCAGGCCACAUGUUCAGCCAACUAUCAGGACAAGCAGACCUCUACCCUGGCUAAGCUGGACAAGUGGUUUGUUUUUAUAGUGUUUAGAUUAUUAUAAUAUUUAAUAGUAUAUUAAAAGAAACAAUGUAGUUUGUUAAAUCUCUUGUGAUAUCUGCUGGUGGAUUCAGUUUGAUAUAGAUAUCUUCA